rnacentral:rRNA from 1 species
CACGUAGGGUGCAAGCGUUGUCCGGAAUUAUUGGGCGUAAAGAGCUCGUAGGCGGUCUGUUGCGUCGGCUGUGAAAACCCGGGGCUCAACCCCGGGCCUGCAGCCGAUACGGGCAGACUAGAGUUCGGCAGGGGAGACUGGAAUUCCUGGUGUAGCGGUGAAAUGCGCAGAUAUCAGGAGGAACACCGGUGGCGAAGGCGGGUCUCUGGGCCGAUACUGACGCUGAGGAGCGAAAGCGUGGGGAGCAAACAGG